GUAAUUCUGAUACGAAACUUCUGUCAAGUUUGCCUCGAAUACCCAACGAGGCGAGGUCCUCCCGAUUUUCAGACAACGGUUACCUGGACCAACCUUUCCUAUUCCUUAGAACAUAUCAAAUUAUUUUGAAACUCCUACUCUUAACCUGGUUCUUCGUUUAAAAUGAUGAAUUCAACAAUCCUCAUUCUACUACUUGUUCUCAUCAGCUUUGGUGAUGCUUCUAGAAGACGUCGUUACUAUAGUAGACGUCGUUCCUACAGCUCUUACAUUCAUCACCACCAUCAUCACCACCACCAUCAUCACUACUCCUGCGGAGAUGAAGAAGGAGUUGACGGUGCAAAGAUUAUCACAGAUCAACUAGAGAAUCAAG